AGUGAACGCUGGCGGUAGGCCUAACACAUGCAAGUCGAACGGCAACACAGUAAGAUCUUGCUCUGACGGGGUGCGAAUGGGGGACGGAUGAGGAAUACAUCGUAAUCUACUUUUUCGUGGAGGUUCACGUAGGGAAACUUACGCUAAUACCGCAUACGACCUACGGGGGAAAGCAGUGGAUCGUCUGACCGGUCGCGGUUGAAUUAGCUGAUGUUGGAUUAGCUAGUUGGCGGGUUAAAGGCCCACCCAGGCGACGAUCCGUAGCCGGUCUGAGAGGAUGGUAGGCCACCCUGGAACUGAGCCAGGGUCAAGAGUCCUAAGGGAGGCAGCAGUGGGGAAUGUUGGACAACGGGGGCAAGCAUGAUACAGUCAUACCGAGUGGGUGAAAGCGGCCUUGGGGUUGUAAAGACCUUUUGUUGGGAAAGAAAAGCAUCAGGUUAAUACCCAGCUGUACUGACGGUAACCAAAGAAUAAGCACCGGCUAACUUCGUG
rnacentral:rRNA from 1 species